rnacentral:rRNA from 1 species
UACGUAGGGUGCGAGCGUUAAUCGGAAUUACUGGGCGUAAAGCGUGCGCAGGCGGCGCGUUAAGACAGGUGUGAAAGCCCCGAGCUUAACUUGGGAAUUGCGCUUGUGACUGGCGAGCUGGAGUGUGGCAGAGGGAGGUGGAAUUCCACGUGUAGCAGUGAAAUGCGUAGAGAUCGGGAAGAACACCCGUGGCGAAGGCGGCUCACUGGGCUGACCUUGACGCUGAGGCGCGAAGGCGUGGAGAGCGAACGGG